rnacentral:rRNA from 1 species
GGAGCAACGCCGCGUGAGUGAUGAAGGCCUUCGGGUUGUAAAACUCUGUCCAGGGGGAAGAAACAAAUGACGGUACCCCUGGAGGAAGCCCCGGCUAACUACGUGCCAGCAGCCGCGGUAAAACGUAGGGGGCAAGCGUUGUCCGGAAUUACUGGGCGUAAAGGGCGUGUAGGCGGCAAUGUAAGUCAGGAGUGAAACCCGUCGGCUUAACCGACGGCCUGCUUCUGAAACUGCAUAGCUUGAGUGCAGGAGAGGGAAGUGGAAUUCCCAGUGUAGCGGUGAAAUGCGUAGAUAUUGGGAGGAACACCAGUGGCGAAAGCGGCUUCCUGGCCUGUAACUGACGCUGAGGCGCGAAAGCGUGGGGAGCAAACAGGAUUAGAUACCCUGGUAGUCCACGCCGUAAACGAUGGGUGCUAGGUGUUGGGGGUAUCGACCCCUCCAGUGCCGCAGUUAACGCAAUAAGCACCCCGCCUGGGAGACG